UUGGCAAUUUCAGCUUCUGGCAGUUAAACCACGAGUCCCCUGUCUCAGCAAUCACAGCAGUUUCACUAGACAGCAAUUUCUGUAUAUGUUGGAAGAGGACAUUAACCCUCAGUGGUUCUUUAGGUUCACUUUUCAAUGGAUGUCCCUCGGGAACAAAAAUUCUGCGGUAGUUUUCAUAUGCAGUAGUAUUGGCCUUGAUCCUCUUCGCAAGGGACAGGAGAAAAUCUUUCAUCCGAAUACAUCCAAAUGCAGGUCCAUUUGCA
rnacentral:misc_RNA from 1 species